GGAGCAGGGAUGAGACAAACUGCCUCCUGGCUCUGCUGAAACAUUCCCCUUUAAGCAGCAGCAGACUUUAAUUCUGGUUUAACGGAGCAAUGCCUGCAACUGUCAUCCCAGCACCACCCUUUCUCUGGGAAUGACGGAAUCAGCAGAUAGAGGAUUAGAGACGUGCAAGUGGCACCCACUCUCUGGGGAAGAAAGGGAAACAUCUGUUAACAUCUGCAGCCAGGCUUCCAAAUCCCCAGUGUCAACCAGACCUAAGCCUGUUUCAUGGCAAGAUGGAUACCAGGAGGAGGACCUCCCAAAAGGUGUACUGCCAAGGGACAAUCCAUGAGCUUCUGCUAUGGUUUGCUGCUUUCAAAACGGGCUGGAUGCUGCAGCUCAUUAGUGAGGAUUUUGGUUGCUUUUGCUGGAUUUCCAAAGAAGGUUCUUUUCUGUUUUUACUUUAGAAACAUGAAGCUUUAUCUUUGGCUGGAGGGUGUCUGAGGAUGAGUGGAGAAAUAGUAGGAUUAUGACCUUACUAGAUCAAAAGAUAAAGACAAGCAAUUGGGAAAGGAAGGAUUAUUCCUUAUUUUGCUAGAAACCCGCUGUUGCUUGUUAUCAUCUGUUUAAUUCAAAUAUCAGAAAGACACCUAGGGUAAGAAUCUGGAUGUUCAGAAGCUUCAGGUACCUCAUCCCUUAAAAAAAAUAUCACACCUACUUUCCACUCUGUUUAAAAAUCAAAGCAGAAAAGGAAACGUCUUGAUAGUUCUCAAACAGCAAACAUGUUUUUCUGGCUAAAUCUUCAAGCCUCUGUUACACAUGAGGAGUAGGUGUAAAAUGUAUUUGUUUCCUUUUCGGAGCACCUUUAAAUCAACUAAAUAAAUGUCUCUUCCCACUACACAAAUUGUCACUUAAACCAGCCUUUGUGAGCUGCAAUUUCCACCCAUCCCUUGGUUUUGCUGCCUGAAACACCAUUUAAAAUAUUUCCAGCAUCACUCCAAAUGCAGCUGAGGGUUUUUGGAAGGGAGCACUUCAAAUAAGGUUGGCUGUAAAGAAUUUGCCUGGCACUAAACAUCUGCUGGCAGUGCUGCUAUCAGCAGAGUGCCACAAACCCUUCCUCACCUGUGGGCUGCUAAUAGGUUUACUGCAGUUGAGAUGAAAGAUGCCUACUCCAUAAGCCUAUCCUGUUUCUCCCUAUUCUGUUCCCCCAGUGCAAACACCUGUGAAAGAAGGUAGCGUUUAUGAAGGCAGGAGUCUAACAGCCCUGUUUGGAGCCAAGCAUAACAAACAAUCCUCCCUAAGGAGGUUAAUUCGCCAUGGUCCUAGCUGUGAGGAUUUGCUAGUCUAGCUUCUACUCCAACUCCUGUCCCCUGUGCAGUCUGCUCUGCCUCUAAAUCCUGAGCACCAAGACCCUUACAAGCACUUCUCCAGAGCCAGAUGUACUUAAUGUCUUCUAGUGUACCAUUAACUUCAUCUCAAACCAAGCCCCUUAAAAUUUCAGCCCAGAUCUACCCAGUGAAUCCUAACUGUUAGAGUGAACCUGUCAGAGCAUUAAACCUCACACAGCCCAGGCAAUGGGAUACCCAUUCUCUAGAAGAAAAGCUGAUAGAAAAAUCAACUCAUUUGAAUUCAGCUUGGCAAAACUUCCACUUCAUGUCAUGCUUUCUGCCAGCAGAAUGCAAAGCCUUUUUAUCUGAGUAAACCACCUCCAAAUCCCUGGGCAGUGGGUAAUAAUGUCGACUUCUGUAGAGUGCUUCAAAGCAUUUCUUCAAAGCCUUCACUACCUGUACAACACCGUAAUGACCUUUAUUUUACAGCGAGAUAAAGCCGUGCUCAGGAGCGGUGCAGGCCAAUGGAGUAAGGUUCCAUGGCACAGCACGCUCUGCAUGAGGAUUUGUACGUAACACUUCGGAUGAGCAAUGGGAGCGGUAAAUUGGAAAGAGCUUCUAGGUCACAGAAGAAUGAAAUCAUGCAAACUGUUGCUCCACAGGCAGUAGCUAAUGCCAGACAGAGUGGGGUGAACCUACAGAUAAAAGCCAUUCCUCUGCUCUCACCCAAUACAAAUCCUUUGGCACCUUUAGGUGCUCCAGGGCCACAUAAAGCAGUCUGGUGUUGGGUUCUCUGGUCCCUGUUUCCUGCCUGCACUGCUCCAUCAUGCUAUUCCUCCAGCAUAUCCUUCCCUGGGUGCUGGUGAAAGCUCUUUGACAGAAGGAAACCUGCACAGAACAUCUCUACACAGGCUAAAUUUGCCUGGUUCCCUCUAGGGCUUAUAGAUUCAUGAUCCAUUAGCAGUUGAGCGUGUCCAUAGGAGUCCUCUGCCUGCUUCUAGUCCCCUUGUCCUCCACCUUCCAAAAGGUCUGGCAGAUGGGUUAAGGGAACUGCAGGCUACCUGCACACCACGGCAGACUCCGAGUCCUAAACCCUGUUCGGGAUCCCUGGAACCCCUCCUUAAAUCCAGCCCCAAACACCUAACCACAGGAGAUACAGUAGACAUUUCCACUUGUGAAUUUUCAUGCGAGUGUAGUUUUCAUAGAAAUAAGAGAGUUAGUUUUGCUUCCCUGAAUAAUCCACUCUUGUCAACAGAGGUUGCUAAUAGAGGCUCUGCCUGGGCAGUUGGAUGGAAAUGAAUGUAUCGAGGAGACAAAGCCUUGUGCAGUUUGCAGACGUGACACUAGCUCAGUGAAUGGAAAUGAUACACCCAGGUUUUUUAUAGAAGAUUCUUGGUAGAUGUGUUUAUUAAAUGGCUUGCCUGCAGAAAGUGCUAAAGGAUUCUCUGUUGUUUUCCCUUCUGGCUUGCUGUAUCACGUAUCUCUAGGGUUUCAGAUGGAGCAUCUCCACAUACACUGCCCUUUUUUAGGCUUUUCCUCUUUGGCAUGAUCUUAAUGAGCACCGCCUUUAAAGUCUACAGGCAUCAGCAGAUAUGAGACUUCCAAUCUGCCCUGCUCAGAUUCAUUGCACUGAGAGAUUUUUCACUCUGAGGUUCGAGUCUAUCCAGAUGCCUUUACAUUAUCUUUCUGGUUUCCCUCGUGUUUGUGAUCCCUUUCAACUUCCUGUCACUCUUGUGAAUGCCUGUCAUCCUUUUGUUCAAUCCUUCUUUAGAGUCAUCAAUAAAAACGUCAAAAAAGACCAAAGACCUGAUCUCUGGGAUGCCCUAAUAAACAUAAUUCUAUAA